rnacentral:rRNA from 1 species
UACAGAGGUCUCAACCGUUGUUCGGAUUCAUUGGGCGUAAAGGGUGCGUAGGCGGCGGGGUAAGUCAGGUGUGAAAUCUCGGGGCUCAACCCCGGGCCUGCAGCCGAUACGGGCAAGCUAGAAUUCGGUAGGGGAGACUGGAAUUCCUGGUGUAGCGGUGAAAUGCGCAGAUAUCAGGAGGAACACCGGUGGCGAAGGCGGGUCUCUGGGCCGAAAUUGACGCUGAGGAGCGAAAGCGUGGGGAGCAAACAGG